ACGGGAGGCAGCAGUGGGGAAUAUUGGGCAAUGGGCGCAAGCCUGACCCAGCAACGCCGCGUGAAGGAUGAAGGCUUUCGGGUUGUAAACUUCUUUUAACAGGGACGAUAAUGACGGUACCUGAUGAAUAAGCCACGGCUAACUACGUGCCAGCAGCCGCGGUAAUACGUAGGUGGCAAGCGUUAUCCGGAUUUACUAGGUGUAAAGGGCGCGUAGGCGGGGAUGCAAGUCAGAUGUGAAAUCCAUGGGCUCAACCCAUGAACUGCAUUUGAAACUGUAUCUCUUGAGUGUCGGAGAGGUAGACGGAAUUCCUAGUGUAGCGGUGAAAUGCGUAGAUAUUAGGAGGAACACCAGUGGCGAAGGCGGUCUACUGGACGAUAACUGACGCUGAGGCGCGAAAGCGUGGGGAGCAAACAGGAUUAGAUACCCUGGUA
rnacentral:rRNA from 1 species